rnacentral:misc_RNA from 1 species
UUUCCGUAGGUGAACCUGCGGAAGGAUCAUUCAUAAUAAGUGUUUUAGGGCACUUUUCGAAAUGCAUACCCACCUUGUGUGCAAUGUCAAGGAUGAUUUUUCUCUCGAGAGGAUCAACCACAAACAUCAACUAUAUAUCAACUCUUUGUCUGAAAAAUAUUAUGAAUAAAACAAUUCAAAAUACAACUUUCAACAACGGAUCUCUUGGCUCUC